UCUACCUACGGGACGCAGCAGUGAGGAAUAUUGGUCAAUGGCCGAGAGGCUGAACCAGCCAAGUCGCGUGAGGGAAGACGGCCCUACGGGUUGUAAACCUCUUUUGUCGGGGAGCAAAGCGAACCACGUGUGGUUCAUUGAGAGUACCCGAAGAAAAAGCAUCGGCUAACUCCGUGCCAGCAGCCGCGGUAAUACGUAGGGGGCAAGCGUUAUCCGGAUUUACUGGGUGUAAAGGGAGCGUAGACGGCAGUGCAAGUCUGGAGUGAAAGGCGGGGGCUCAACCCCCGGACUGCUCUGGAAACUGG
rnacentral:rRNA from 1 species